GAAAGAUUCCAUUGAAAGUUCAGAUCUUUUGAAAAUAUAUGACAAAUAUUAGUUGAUGUAAUUUUCCUGAACAACACAUCUGUUUGAUACUCGAUAGAACACCAGAUGCAGGCCACAUUCCAACAAAAAAAGAAUAGAGCCUUAAAUCUAACUAAAGUUUCCUAUUUUAUGACAAUUAAAAAGAAAAAGAAGGAUAUAUCUGCAUACAAGGAGACCCAGCUUAACAUCUGCAAUCAGCCCUAAAAUCUCGACCACUGCAGAGAUGAUUAUUCUUCAAUGGUUAUUGAAUUCUUCAGUUGUGCUGUCAUCUUCGUGAUCUUUAGAAUGGUUCUCCAUGCAUUUCAUGAGAAACUUAAAGGUCUCAAUCUCGCAUGGGAUUGUGAGCCCGCCACUAUGAUCAAACCCAAACUCCUCUUCUGAUUUAUCUAGCAAAGCCUUGAACAGAAAAUGGCUCAGGCAGCUAGUGGGGAUAAUAAAUCUCCGAAGCUCUUGCCCAACAUAAACCGCUAGAUACCCUUUGGGGACAUCAGGUGGCAAUCCAGGGCUGUGGCAGCUUUCGUCAUCUGAAUCACAACAAUUCUUAAUGUUCGUUAGCCUUUUAUUAAUUGCUGGAGAAAUGCCCCCAUGAGUGUUGCUCUGCUGGGGAGUUGUUGCCUUCAAGCCAAUUGUAAUAGAUUGCCACUUCUGGAGAAUUUCUUUUAGCCUAACAAUCUGCCGAAUUCCAGUCACCUUGCUGCCACCAUUGUCAUCCAUUGCUAAACGUUUUACAACAACAGUGAAAAAAAUCCCAGAAUCGAAUUCAGGAUUUCUGAUUCCAGACAUGCAAGUCUCAUCAGAUCCUCUUCCACUGAAAGGGAGAAGAAGGCGGAAAUCAGUUCAUGGAAAGGCAAAGUAAAAACGCCAUUGUAGCUUCAGAAUAAUGGGGAGGGGCAAGGGAAAGAACAGAGCAACGAGCUCUCUUGAGCGAGAAAGAGAGAAUUUUUUAAAAAAUUUCCACAAGAGAAACUAUUCCUUUCCUUGGUGUGGAAUCAAAAAGCCAAAAGGUGCAUGUUUUAUAACGUGAAUGAAGCUAGCAAUAAAUUAUUAGUGGCUGCACCGGCGGUUUCGGCCAGUCCGUUUUUGAGCUAGCGGUUUAUAAUGCAAUGGAUGCCACAGAGCCCUGCGAUUUGUGAGCGGAGAGAAAUUAGUGGUAGUUAGUACCAUUAAUUAGAC
rnacentral:misc_RNA from 1 species